rnacentral:rRNA from 1 species
GGUUAAGUGACUAAGCGUACACGGUGGAUGCCUAGGCAGUCAGAGGCGAUGAAGGGCGUGCUAAUCUGCGAAAAGCGUCGGUAAGGUGAUAUGAACCGUUACAACCGGCGAUACCCGAAUGGGGAAACCCAGUGUGUUUCGACACACUAUCAUGUCAUGAAUACAUAGUGGCAUGAGGCGAACCGGGGGAACUGAAACAUCUAAGUACCCCGAGGAAAAGAAAUCAACCGAGAUUCCCCCAGUAGCGGCGAGCGAACGGGGAGGAGCCCAGAACCUGAAUCGGCUUGUGUGUUAGUGGAAGCGUCUGGAAAGUCGCGCAGUAAAGGGUGAUAGCCC